UACGUAGGGUCCGAGCGUUGUCCGGAAUUAUUGGGCGUAAAGGGCUCGUAGGCGGUUUGUCGCGUCGGGAGUGAAAACUCAGGGCUCAACCCUGAGCGUGCUUCCGAUACGGGCAGACUAGAGGUAUGCAGGGGAGAACGGAAUUCCUGGUGUAGCGGUGGAAUGCGCAGAUAUCAGGAGGAACACCGGUGGCGAAGGCGGUUCUCUGGGCAUUACCUGACGCUGAGGAGCGAAAGCAUGGGGAGCGAUCCGG
rnacentral:rRNA from 1 species